rnacentral:precursor_RNA from 10 species
AUUUUUUGGCAAUAUGACCCAUUGUUGCGUUCGUUCGGAAGCUCAACAAAGAUCAUUAAACUAACGAUCGGUGGGACUUUCGUUCGAUUGCAAUGAUCGGGCUCGACAUCCAUUCCAAA